rnacentral:sRNA from 2 species
CCAUCGUCCAUCUGAAACGGUAUCAAGCUAUAAAUAAACCCAUCACCCUGGCUGGAUGGCCGAGGCAUUUUUGGUUGAAAUAGUUUUAAGAGUUGAAUUUGUUUCACAUAUAAAUGCUAUUUUGCAGGGGUUGUGUACAUGAGCUUGUAUAUACAUAUAUACAAAGAAACAUGUUGGGAUGAAGUGAAUUCAUGUAGAGGGGACUGAGAGGAAGGAAAGGUAAGUGAUCCGGGAAAUGUAAGUAUACAUGCAGCAAGCGCCACUAGAGGGAGGUCUUGUUCUAAAACUGAACAGUUCAGUAAGGGAGAAUAAAUGAAAACAAAAGGGCUUCAUUAGGCGAUCUUCACUUUAUGCGCUCUCAGGUUUCAAGAAAGCAAAAAGCCAGUGUGACAAAUUUCGCAUCAUGGUUUCGCUGGAAUGGCAAAAUACAUACCACAUCGCAUGAGGGGAAUCAAAGAAAACAACCGCGCAGAUAGAUGGAUACGAAAGGAG